rfam:Dipodomys ordii contig_12954, whole genome shotgun sequence.
GGUGGCUCAGUGGUAGAGCUCUUGCCUUGCAUGCAUGAGGCCCUGGGUUUGAUUCCUCAGUACCA